AAGUUUCAGAGUAAUUUAUAUACUUGUAUUUGCUUAGUUGUGAUUUUGAGAUAUAUGAGGAUUUGAAAUGUGAUAUUGAAUUGCAAAGACUUGAGCUUGUUAGAUAGAUGAAGUAAGUAGAAUUGGGUUUUGCAAAGUCUGAUUGUUUUUGAGUUUUGGGUUGUGUGUGAAUGAAGGUAGAAGAUGUCGAAAUUUGAAGGGGGGAGGAAAAUGGGUGGGGAUUCGAAAUUGUUGAAUGAGAUUGAGACUAUAAGCAAGGCUCUGUAUGUUGACAAAAGGCCCUCCAGGAGUAGUAGUUCAGUUUCUUCGGGGAGUUAUGUGCCGAAAUUGCAAGGGAAGACGCUUUUGCCUGAUCCAAAGUCGAAGCCGAAGCCGAAGCCUGGUGGGGAUGACUUAUUGCUCAAAGAGAAGAAGUCAUUUUGGAAUUGGAAGCCCUUGAAGGCGUGGACUCAUAUCCGGAACCGGAGAUUUAACUGCUGCUUUUCCCUUGAAGUUCAUUCCGUUGAAGGGUUGCCGUUGGAUUUGCAGAAUAUUAGUCUGUGUGUGCAUUGGAAGAGGAGGGAUGCGAUUUUCGUUACUAAUCCGACGAAGGUUGUUCAAGGUGUGGCGAAAUUUGAUGAGAAAUUGACUCACACAUGCUCAGUGUACGGUAGUAGGAGUGGACCACAUCAUUCGGCAAAGUAUGAAGCAAAGCAUUUCUUGCUGUAUGCUUCUGUGUUUGGUGCACCAGAACUUGAUUUGGGAAAGCAUAGGGUUGAUCUCACGAGGUUGCUUCCUCUGACGUUGGAGGAAUUAGAGGAGGAGAAGAGCUCAGGGAACUGGACAACGAGUUUUAAACUAUCAGGAAAGGCUAAAGGUGCAAUCCUGAAUGUUAGUUUUGGGUAUACGGUGCUUGGGGAUAAUUCUAGUGCCUCAAGAAAUAGUCAGAAUGCUCCUGACGGAGUGCUUUCGAGGCAGACUAACUCGAGUUUGGCAAAAGUAGGGACCAAAUAUGGUCAGGUUGAUGCCAGGAGAAGUAUGCAGCGUGGUGAAAGUCUUCCUAGUCAGCGUUCAAGGGCCUCAUCUCGUUCUGUAGAGAAUUUAAAGGAUCUUCAUGAGGUUUUACCGAUAUCAAAGUCAGAACUAUCUAGUUCAGUUGAUGAACUCUAUCAGAAAUUUGAUGAAGAAGAGAAGUCGGGUACUCCAGCUGUUUACAAGCCUGAACUUGAAGUGCUCGUUGAAACUGUUGAGCCUAUUUCUAGUAAACUAACAGUAGAGAAUGAGUGUGAAGAGGAUGACUUUUCUGUAGUUGAGCAGGGGAUAGAACUGCCAUCAAAGGAAGUGAUGGAGUCAGAAGUUGUUACGGAGGCUACUGAUGCUUCUGCAGCAGAAGGUCAUGUUGCUGAAACCCCCACUGGUCUACAGGUAGCUGCUGAACAAGGAACUGAGCUCCAUUCCCAGGUUGAGGGUCAAAAUGGUUGUACAGAAGGGCUUGUGCUAUGUAAUUCCAGUUCCAAAGAAGAUGGCUUAUGCACCAGAGAAUCACUUAUGCAAGAGCUAGAGUCGGCUUUAAGUAUUGUGUCAGAUUUGGAGGCAGAAGGACUAGAAUCUCCUGAUGAGGACCUAAAAUGUUAUGUAGAUGAUACACUAUAUAAAAGAAAUGUGAUGGGGAGUGCAUCUAGCUUGGAUGAUGUUACAGAAUCUGUUGCCAAUGAGUUCUUGAGCAUGCUCGGGAUAGAGCAAAGUCCAUCUUGUAUUAGCUUUGAGAGUGAACCCGAGUCUCCAAGAGAGCGUCUGCUAAGACAGUUUGAGAAGGAGACGCUUGCCGCGGGUUGUUCUUUGUUUGAUGAUUUUGACAUAGUAACUGAUGAACAACCAGAAUGCAGCUACAAUGAUGCAACCGGGUCUGAUUGGGGCCACCUAUCUGAGAGUUUUGAUCUAUCUUCCAUGAUUCAAGCUGCAGAGGAGGAGCAUCUGAUGGCAGCACAACCAGCAAAAAGUAAAGCAAAGGCCAAAAAUGUUGGAAGACUUGGAGACAGAAGCAUUAAUGCGUGAGUGGGGUUUGAAUGAGAUGGCUUUUCAGCAUUCUCCACCAAAAAGCUCUUCUGGUUUUGGAAGUCCUUUGGACACACCUCUUGAAGAUCCACUUGAAUUGCCUUCCCUUGGAGAAGGGAUAGGCCCUUUUCUUCAGACAAAGAAUGGAGGAUUUGUACGGUCCAUGAAUCCCACACUUUUCAAAAAUGCUAAAAGUGGUGGGGACUUGAUCAUGCAGGUUUCCAGCCCAGUUGUGGUACCAGCAGAAAUGGGCUCUGGGGUAAUAGAUAUAUUGCAGCAUUUGGCAUCAGUAGGAAUCGAGAAGCUUUCUAUGCAGGCAAAUAAGUUAAUGCCCUUGGAAGAUAUAACUGGAAAGACAAUGGAGCAAGUAGCUUGGGAAGCUAUGCCUGCUUUGGAAGGACCUCAAAGGGAUUGUAGCUCGCAGCAUGAAUCAGUUGUUGGGCAAGAUGUACCAGAUGCGCGAACGAGAGUUAAAGGAAGUUCAUCCGGGCCCAAGUCUAAGACGUCUAAGAAAAACACAGUUGGCAAUGAGAUGGCCUCAGAAUAUGUUUCUUUGGAAGAUCUUGCACCUUUAGCCAUGGAUAAAAUUGAAGCACUUUCAAUUGAGGGGUUGAGAAUACAGUCUGGGAUGUCAGAUGUGGAUGAACCUUCAAGCAUCAGCACAGAUUCUGUUAUGCAAAACCCAGCUCCCCAGGGCAAGGGUGUUAAUGUUGGCGAACUCCUGGGUUUGGAGGGAGCUGCUGGCUUGCAGUUAAUGGACAUAAAAGAUGGUGGCAAUGAUGUUGAUGGACUAAUGGGCCUUUCACUAACUCUUGAUGAAUGGAUGAAACUUGAUUCUGGUGAAAUUGACGAUGAAGAUCAUAUUAGUGAGAGAACUACCCAAAUCCUUGCGGCGCAUCAUGCAAACUCUUUGGACAUGAUUCGUGGAGGAUCGAAAGGAGAGAGAAGGCGUGGCAAAGGAGCCAGAAAGUGUGGUUUAUUGGGGAAUAAUUUCACAGUAGCAUUAAUGGUGCAACUUCGUGAUCCUCUAAGAAACUAUGAGCCGGUUGGAGCUCCAAUGCUUGCUCUUAUUCAAGUUGAGAGGGUGUUUCUCCCACCAAAGCCCAAGAUUUACAGCACCGUUUCUGAAGUAAGGAAAAGUAAUGAAGAGGAAGAUGAGUCUGGGUCAGUGGUGAAAGAGGACAUUAAGGAGGAGAAAAAAGAUGAGAAACUUCCUGAAGAGGAAAGUAUUCCUCAGUUUAAAAUCACUGAAGUCCAUGUCGCUGGUCUGAAAACUGAACCUGGAAAAAAGAAGCUAUGGGGUAAUACAAACCAGCAACAAUCAGGUUCGCGCUGGUUGCUUGCAAAUGGAAUGGGGAAAAACAAUAAGCAUCCUUUUUUGAAGUCAAAGGCCAAGGCUGGCUCCGAAAUCUUCUACCUCGGCAACAACAAAGGUGCAGCCCGGUGAUACAUUGUGGAGCAUCUCAGCUCGUGUCCAUGGUGAUGGAUCAAAUGGAAGGAAUUGGCAACACUAAAUCCACACAUAAGGAAUCCCAAUGUUAUUUUACCAAAUGAAACUAUCAGAUUGUGCUGAGUGCUUGGUGGCCUUGAGUUCUGCCCUUUUGUGGGAUUUUGAUCCAUUCAGCUGGGGUGUAACUGGAGUCCAUGUAAAGAGGUAGUUCACAGAGUCCAGACUCCAGACAAGGUUGAUUGUUGUGCUUGUGAAGUUAUUCUUGUAUUUGCUUGAAA